CGCCUCCUGACUAAACAUAGGAGGUCAGGCCUGCCCAGUGACAUUGUUCAACGGCCGCGGUAUCCUAACCGUGCGAAGGUAGCGUAAUCACUUGUUCUUUAAAUGAGGACUAGUAUGAACGGCUUCACGAGAGCUAUGCUGUCUCCUUUAUCCAAUCAGUAAAACUAAUCUCCCCGUGAAGAAGCGGGGAUGUAAUUAUAAGACGAGAAGACCCUAUGGAGCUUUAAACUCUUUUAACAUUUGAACUACGUAUAAAACUUUCAGAAAGCUUCAUUAAACCAAUCAUUUUGUUUCAGGUUUUAGGUUGGGGUGACCACGGAGAAAAAAUCAACCUCCACGUGGAAAGAAGCUAUCUUCUAAGCAAAAAGCUACACCUUUAUGCAUCAACACAUUGACCUAAAUUGACCCAAUUGCUUGAUCAACGAACCAAGUUACCCUAGGGAUAACAGCGCAAUCCGCUUUAAGAGCUCCUAUCGACAAGCGGGCUUACGACCUCGAUGUUGGAUCAGGGUAUCCUAGUGGUGCAGCAGCUACUAACGGUUCGUUUGUUCAACGAUUAAAACCCU
rnacentral:rRNA from 1 species